UACGAAGGGGGGCUAGCGUUGCUCGGAAUCACUGGGCGUAAAAGGGUGCGUAGGCGGGGUCUUUUAAGUCAGGGGGUGAAAUCCUGGAGCUCAACUCCAGAACUGCCUUUGAUACUGAGGAUCUUGAGUUCGGGGAGAGGUGAGUGGAACUGCGAGUGUAGAGGUGAAAAUUCGUAGAUAUUCGCAAAGAACACCAGUGGCGAAGGCGGCUCACU
rnacentral:rRNA from 1 species